AGCGAACGCUGGCGGCAGGCUUAACACAUGCAAGUCGAACGGGCGUAGCAAUACGUCAGUGGCAGACGGGUGAGUAACGCGUGGGAACGUACCUUUUGGUUCGGAACAACCCAGGGAAACUUGGGCUAAUACCGGAUAAGCCCUUACGGGGAAAGAUUUAUCGCCGAAAGAUCGGCCCGCGUCUGAUUAGCUAGUUGGUGAGGUAACGGCUCACCAAGGCGACGAUCAGUAGCUGGUCUGAGAGGANGAUCAGCCACAUUGGGACUGAGACACGGCCAAACUCCUACGGGAGGCAGCAGUGGGAAUAUUGCGCAAUGGACGAAGUCUGACGCAGCAACGCCGCGUGAGGGAUGAC
rnacentral:rRNA from 1 species